rnacentral:misc_RNA from 1 species
GAUGAAGAACGUAGUGAAACGCGAUAUUUCUUGUGAAUUGCAGAAGUGAAUCAUCAGUUUUUGAACGCACAUUGCACUUUGGGGUAUCCCCCAAAGUAUACUUGUUUGAGCGUUGUUUCUCUCUUGGAAUUGCUUUGCUCUUCUAAAAUUUCGAAUCAAAUUCGUUUGAAAAACAACACUAUUCAACCUCAGAUCAAGUAGGAUUACCCGCUGAACUUAAGCAUAUCAAUAAGAGGAGGA